CCUACGGGAGGCAGCAAUGGGGAAUAUUGCGCAAUGGACGAAAGCCUGACGCAGCGACGCCGCGUGAGGGAUGAAGGUCUUCGGAGCGUAAACCUCUGUCAGCAGGGAAGUACGGUCACUGUGCUAAUCAGCAGUGAAUUUGCGGUACCAGCAAAGGAAGCACCGGCUAACUCCGUGCCAGCAGCCGCGGUAAUACGGAGGGUGCGAGCGUUAAUCGGAAUUACUGGGCGUAAAGCGCUCGUAGGCGGUAUGUCAAGUCAAGGGUGAAAUCCCCGCGCUCAACGUGGGAACUGCCUUUGAAACUGGCAACCUGGAGUGUGUGAGAGGAUAGUGGAAUUCCAGGUGUAGGUGUGAAAGCCGUAGAUAUCUGGAGGAACAUCAGUGGCGAAGGCGACUGUCUGGCACAUAACUGACGCUGAGGAGCGAAAGCGUGGGUAGCAAACAGGAUUAGAUACCCCUGUAGUC
rnacentral:rRNA from 1 species